AACGAACGCUGGCGGCAUGCCUAACACAUGCAAGUCGAACGGGAUCCUAGCUUGCUAGGUGAGAGUGGCGGACGGGUGAGUAACACGUGGGAAUCUGCCUUUUGGUUCGGGAUAACCGCGGGAAACUGCGGCUAAUACCGAAUGCCCUCGAGAGAGGAAAGAUUUAUCGCCAGAAGAGGAGCCCGCGUCCGAUUAGGUAGUUGGUGGGGUAAAGGCCUACCAAGCCGACGAUCGGUAGCUGGUCUGAGAGGAUGAUCAGCCACACUGGGACUGAGAUACGGCCCAGACUCCUACGGGAGGCAGCAGUGGGGAAUAUUGGACAAUGGGGGCAACCCUGAUCCAGCAAUGCCGCGUGAGUGAUGAAGGCCUUAGGGUUGUAAAGCUCUUUGCCGAGGAAGAUGAUGACUGUACCUGGAGAAUAAGCCCCGGCUAACUUCGUGCCAGCAGCC
rnacentral:rRNA from 1 species